rnacentral:rRNA from 1 species
UAGGGAAUCUUCCGCAAUGGGCGAAAGCCUGACGGAGCAACGCCGCGUGAGUGAUGAAGGUCUUCGGAUCGUAAAACUCUGUUAUUAGGGAAGAACAAAUGUGUAAGUAACUAUGCACGUCUUGACGGUACCUAAUCAGAAAGCCACGGCUAACUACGUGCCAGCAGCCGCGGUAAUACGUAGGUGGCAAGCGUUAUCCGGAAUUAUUGGGCGUAAAGCGCGCGUAGGCGGUUUUUUAAGUCUGAUGUGAAAGCCCACGGCUCAACCGUGGAGGGUCAUUGGAAACUGGAAAACUUGAGUGCAGAAGAGGAAAGUGGAAUUCCAUGUGUAGCGGUGAAAUGCGCAGAGAUAUGGAGGAACAUCAGUGGCGAAGGCGACUUUCUGGUCUGUAACUGACGCUGAUGUGCGAAAGCGUGGGGAUCAAACAGG